rnacentral:rRNA from 1 species
GGGGGAAAAAUUAAUAAAAUUAUAAAUAAUAAAAUAAAUUUUAAAAUUAAAAAUAAAUAAUGGGGGUUAAAGUAUUUUUAAUGGAAAAAAUUUAAAAAUUUAUAAGGAAUUAGUAUUGUAUAAGAAUUUUGAAAAAUUGAAAAAUAAUUAAUAAUAAAGAAAAUUUAAUUUGUUGUAUCUUGUGUAUCAGAGUUUAUUAAAUAAAUUUUUUAUAAAAAAAAAUUUCGAAUUUAAAAGAGUUAAUUAAUUAAAAAAGUUAAUGUAGUAUAAUUAUUUUCAAUAAUUAAUUUGAAAUGAAAUGUUAAUCGUUUUUAAAUAUAUCUAGUUAUUUUAGAAAAAAAUUUAAUUUUGAACUUAAAUAAUUUUAUAAUUUAAUAAUAAAAAUUAUAAAAAUUUAAAUUUAAUAUGUUAGGGGAUAAGCUUUAAAUUAAAAAUUUAUAAUAAAAUUAAAUAUAUUAAUUAAAAUUUUUAAAAUUUAUAUUGUUUAUAAAUUAUAAUUUAUUAUAAAAAAAUUUUAAAAAAAAAUAAAAUUUAAUAAAUAAAAAUUUAAAUUUUUAUAAAAUAAUAAUUUUAGAAUAAUAAAAAAAUAGAAAUAAUGAUAAAAUUAAUAUAAUGAAAAAUAAAUAAUAUAAAUAUUUAUUUAAAAUUAGGUUAAAGGAAUUCGGCAAAAAUUUAUAUUCACAUGUUUAUCAAAAACAUGUCUUUUUGAAAAUAAUUUAAAGUCUAAUCUGCCCACUGAUGAAAAUUAAAGGGCUGCAGUAUUUUGACUGUACAAAGGUAGCAUAAUCAUUAGUUUUUUAAUUGGAAACUUGUAUGAAAGAUUUAAUGAAAUAUAUACUGUCUCAAAUUUAUUAUUAAAACUUUAUUUUUUUAGUUAAAAAGCUAAAAUAUUUUUAAAAGACGAGAAAGACCCUAUAGAGUUUUAUAUUUAUUUUUAUUAAAAAAUUAUAUAAAAAUUAAUAUUUAAAAUAAAGUAAAAUAUUAUAUUGGGGUGAUAGAAAAAUUAAAUUAACUUUUUGUGAUAAUUAAUAUUAAUAAAUAAGUAAAUGAUCCAUAAAUAAUGAUUAAAAGAAAAAAUUACCUUAGGGAUAACAGCGUAAUUUUUUUUUUUAGUACAGAUAAAAAAAAAAGUUUGCGACCUCGAUGUUGGAUUAAGAUAAAAUUUAAAUGCAAAAGUUUAAAAUUUUGAUCUGUUCGAUCAUUAAAAUCUUACAUGAUCUGAGUUCAAACCGGUGUAAGCCAGGUUGGUUUCUAUCUUUAAAAUUAAAAAAUAUUUUAGUACGAAAGGAUCAAAUAUUUAAAAUAAUUUUAUUUAUAAGAAUAUUAUUAAAUUUAUAGUGUAAAAAUUAAUAAAUUUAAC